CUUUGUACAGUAAUGUCCAGUGAAACCAUUUGAAACGAUAUAUGUGGUCACAGUCAAGAACAUAAGUAUAGUUGAUUUCUUUUCAUUCGGAUAAGGCGCUGUGGAGAAGACACGUUGCUGUUAUGGCGCACUCUCUGUGCGCAGCGCGAAGAGAGUGCAGGUUUUUAUUUCAACCUAGGAAACACAUUAAGUCCAGGUGGAGGGUGUCAGAAACUCUUUAUGGAUUCCUUAUCCAAAAAUCUACAAUGCGCACCAUAUUCUGUGUGUGUUUUAGGUUUCGUUUUCCGCAGAAAGCCACACCUUACAGCUCUAAUAAAUGCUGGAAAUAGAAACUAAACUGUUGCACUCGAUCUUGGACAAGUCAAGAUGGAUGCAUUAUUCCACCUACUUGAGCAGCACAGACUGCAGUCUCACUACAGGAAAUUUUGUGAUGUUGGUGUGAAAGAUGAAAGAGAUUUCCUUGAUGUCACAGAUGAAGACUUGAACACCAUCGGAUUAAGCCAGGUGGAAAAGAAUCGUUUUUCUACCAUGAGAAACUCCAUUCGCAGACUCAGAGCUCCUGCAAACCCAGCUGCAAUGUCUGUGAAAAAGUCAAUGGAGUCAUUCUGUCUGCAGUACACAUACCCCAAAUGUCCUGAACCAAAAUACAUCA